UACGGGGGGAGCAAGCGUUGUUCGGAUUUACUGGGCGUAAAGGGCGCGUAGGCGGCCAGCACAAGUCAGUUGUGAAAUCUCCGGGCUUAACUCGGAAAGGUCAACUGAUACUGUGCGGCUAGAGUGCAGAAGGGGCAACUGGAAUUCUCGGUGUAGUGGUGAAAUGCGUAGAUAUCGAGAGGAACACCUGCGGCGAAGGCGGGUUGCUGGGCUGACACUGACGCUGAUGCGA
rnacentral:rRNA from 1 species